CUCAUCAUGAUACUUCCUAAUGGAAAAUGAAACCAGCACCUGCUUAUUGACCUUAAUUUCUCCACAAUCAUUCAACCAUUGAAGCUUAUAAGGUCCAGGAUGCUUAAUAGUAGGUAAGUUCAACUUUUCAACCAAAACAGUGCUUGCUACAUUAGUGCAGCUACCCCCAUCAAUUAUCAUGCUGCAUAUCUUGUCUUGGAUGUUGGGGUGUGAAAGAUGUUAUCUCGCUGUGCAUCAUCCUCCUCCUCUACUUGCACAUUCAAAGCUCUCCUGG
rnacentral:lncRNA from 1 species